rnacentral:lncRNA from 10 species
CUAGAAGCCUUCUGGGUCACUCAUAAACCAAAGAGAAAAUAAGGCAGCACAUAUUUCCCAUAGAAAUGUGGAAUGUAAGAAAGGCACAUAAAGCAAUCCAAGUUGCCUGCAGAUAUCCACAGCCUACUUCAGUCUCAGUAAUGCUCUUUUAACCUGGUGCAUCAGUUUAAGGGAAGACAUGAGAUCAUGGGUUUAAGUGAGGCUUCAUCAUGCCAAGACAACGUGAUCAGUUAUUCCCAACCUAUAUAACUCACAUACACUGGAGGAAAUAUCUUCAUGGAAUUAAAACCACAUGGAGUAACAUUUCACGUAAGCAGAAUUCAGGAAUGAUUUCAGUAAUUCCAUCCCAAACACACACAGGCAAAGGGAGUGAAGAUUUCUUCAGCAACAUGGUGGCAGAAAGAUCAUGAAAAGAUCUAGGCCAGUCCAAGCUCACUGCAGUUAAAUCUUCAGUCUCCAGCACUGCACUUGGGAAAGCGUCAAGGAGUUGAAUGUAUAUGUAAUUGGAGUGCCAGAAGAAGAGAACUGAGAGAGAGGGGCAGAACAGCUCAUGAGGGGGAAAACCCACUACAUACAAACAAGAAUACUGCAGACUCCUCAUCAGAAUCUAUGCUACCUGUAAAGGCUUGUAAAAGCACAGAGCUGCUCUCACCAUGCAGCCAAAGAAGAAAUGAGGAUAUCGGUCCUAUAACUGCAAGGAACUGAAUGCUGCCAACCACCUGAACGGACUUGGGCUACUGAGAAGAAGCUAUUCUAGCAAAGCUGGAGGAAUUCCACCAGACUGACAGAACAACACAAAUAAGUCCAUGCCUGACGCACAGCAGGGGCUCAAGGCAAGUUUGUGGACUCGAAGCCCUGUUAGAAUGGAUGGAAUUUGGUCUUAUGAAGC